GAUGAACGCUAGCGGCAGGCCUAAUACAUGCAAGUCGAACGGUGUCUUCGGACACAGUGGCGCACGGGUGCGUAACACGUAUGCAACCUACCUUACAUUGGGGGAUAGCCUUUCGAAAGGGAGAUUAAUACCGCAUAAGACAGUAGCUGGGCAUCCAGCAGCUGUUAAAGAUUUAUCGAUGUAAGCUGGGCAUGCGUCCAAUUAGCUAGUUGGUGAGGUAACGGCUCACCAAGGCAAUGAUUGGUAGGGGAACUGAGAGGUCAAUCCCCCACACUGGCACUGAGAUACGGGCCAGACUCCUACGGGAGGCAGCAGUAGGGAAUAUUGGGCAAUGGACGCAAGUCUGACCCAGCCAUGCCGCGUGCAGGAUGAAGGCGUUAUGCGUUGUAAACUGCUUUUAUACAGGAAGAAACGACUCUUGCGAGAGGCAUUGGCGGUACUGUAUGAAUAAGCACCGGCUAACUCCGUGCCAGCAGCCGCCGUAAGAC
rnacentral:rRNA from 1 species